AUGAUUUCAUUGUGUACCUCGUGGAUGACACACCCAGGACUAUUUCAGAAGCCUAUGCAUCUCCUGAUGCUGACUACUGGAAGGAAGCUGUACGUAGAUGUAAGUGGUUGUUCAAGAAGAAGCUUAGACCUGAUGGUACGAUUGAAAAAUACAAGGCACGGCUUGUGGCCAAGGGUUAUACCCAGAAAUAAGGUGAAGACUUCUUUGAUACUUACUCACCCGUGGCUAGACUGA
rnacentral:rRNA from 1 species